CCUACGGGAGGCAGCAGUGAGGAAUAUUGGUCAAUGGACGAGAGUCUGAACCAGCCAAGUAGCGUGAAGGAUGACUGCCCUAUGGGUUGUAAACUUCUUUUGUCAAGGGACAAAAUCAGGCUCGAGAGCCUGACCGAGUGUACUUUAAGAAAAAGCAUCGGCUAACUCCGUGCCAGCAGCCGCGGUAAUACGGAGGAUGCGAGCGUUAUCCGGAUUUAUUGGGUUUAAAGGGUGCGUAGGCGGACUGUUAAGUCAGCGGUAAAAGCCCGGGGCUCAACCCCGGCGAGCCGUUGAAACUGGCUGUCUUGAGAUGUCGAGAGGUAUGCGGAAUGCGCAGUGUAGCGGUGAAAUGCUUAGAUAUUGCGCAGAACUCCGAUUGCGAAGGCAGCAUACCGGCGGCGAUCUGACGCUGAGGCACGAAAGCGUGGGUAUCGAACAGGAUUAGAUACCCUAGUAGUC
rnacentral:rRNA from 1 species